CUGAUUUUUUUUUAAUAAGCAGCUUAUUUCUGACUACAUUAUUUAUGUGAUAUGUAAUGCAAUUAAUUUUUAUUACCUUUAACCAUUUUUACAGCUUCUAGGAUUUCUUUAACUGCUUGUACUUGGAGGGCCACUCUUUCAAAAUUGGUGACCAGGAUGUUCUUGUGCUGGACUACAAGCAGCAACUUUUUGGGGGUUUUGGAGCUACUCCGGCAUGGCACCUGACAAGUUUUACCUGAGAGCAUCUCAUGCAUGGAACAUGAAGAGCUUAUGGGAGACUAGAGCACAAAGAAAAGCAGAAAUAUUUGCUCUUCUCCAGGUCCCUGUGACUCACAUGAUAAAAAUCUCCUGUGAAUAACUUCAGAGAUUUGUACGUCAACCUGCUCUGCAACACAAAUGUGAGUCAGGAGCUUUUCUUUUCUGCUUUGUCACAAAAAGGUAGAUUUUAAAUUGCAUUUAACAUGGAUUGGUACACACCAUAUCCAGAUAUUCAUUAUUUAUGUAUACAAAAGUAUAUCAGUUUGGGUACCUACAUUAAUAACUACAGUGCUCUUUUUACAAAACAAUGGGAAAAAAAAUUAGUUAGAACUGCAGUUUCUUAAAAUGUUCCAUCUUUGAGACAUACCAUUUGAAAGCCCUAGUUAAUCUUCAGGGACUCUAAUGUUAUUUUCACAUACAAUGUAUCAUGCUUAUUGGACACUGAAUCUAAACAUACAGAAAAAUUCAAUGUUUAGUCUGUCUGUAGCCCUGUAAUAAUACGCUGUUAGUAUGCAGAUAAUUUGGGAAGAUGAAAUCUAAUUGAUGCCUGUUGUUGUUCAGGGCUAUUUCUGCUUGGAACUGCUCACGUAUUGCUUUUCCAUUCUAUGUUGUAAUUUGUACAAAUCUCUUAGCAUUUUGAGUCGAUUUUAUUUAUUUAUUUAGCAUAUGUUGAAACUAAUCUGACUGAAGUAGUCAGUGGUACUAGGAUUUUCCUAAAAUAAACAAGAAAUUACCCCCUACCUACCCA
rnacentral:lncRNA from 1 species